rnacentral:lncRNA from 1 species
GGUUCUAGAUCGAUGAUUUUUACUUUAUAGAAGUUAUUUUAAUAUUAAAUUUAGCUCUAUAGGAGAACAAACUUCUAGAUAGGAGAAUAUUAAGUAGCAUUCUUGACACCCAUAUUGUAAAUAUAUUGAGUUCAGUUUGAUGUCAGUAAAGAUAAAAAUUCUUAGAUAUUGAUCAUCAAUUUUGUUGGGGGUGAUUUUGUACUGAUCGAAGCCAUGAAGCAUAUAAAGGAAGGAUUGACCCUUUUGGAUUCUCAAAUUCUAUGCCUCAUUCAAAAUUCAAAUGAGCCCAAUAUGACAGCUGCCCACUGAACAGAUAAGAAAGAAAUAAUGGCCAUAUCUCUUUAGAUAAAUUAAGGCUAACUGCCUAAUUUUUCUUUCUCUCAUGGCUUCUCAGCCUCUACCUAUAAAUAAAGGCCCACAGGAGAUCCGAAAGUAUGAAAUUCUUUCUCUCCCAAAAAUGCUAACUCUUUUUCUCUGUUGUUCAGAUUUCUAACUUGAGUGUCAGAGGAUUCCCAUCGGAGCCACCUUCAGUCGGAGACUUUUCUUGUAGAUCCCGUCGUUGCCGAUCUACCAUCGUUGUAGAUCUCCAGUUAAUCCGAUCCAAGGAUGAAAUUCUGCCAUAAAAGAUUAAUACUAGAGGAAGGAGCCGGAUCCAUUCACGAGAAGAAAUAAGUAGUCAAUGGAAGGAGUUUCAUCGUAUUGCUCCAACACCAUCCACUUCCUGGCAAUCAAAUCCAUCAGACACCAACGAGAUCCAAGCCGACUACCUCCAAAAUUGACAGACGUUGAUUAGAUCUAAUCACCUCUGCACCCAUCAAUGCUCUCCAAACAAUCCUAAUCGGGCUCGAAACCGGGGGGCAUGUGAUCCGAAUGAAGAAGGAGAUACAAAAAACCCUUAAUUUUCAAAUUAUUUUCUCAUUUACAUUUCAAAUUUUGAAUUUUGGAACGGGAUCUAGACAAAGAAGGAGACCAUGGCAUCCCACACACGGAAAGAAAGGAGAUCCAAACAAGAAAGACUGUGACAGAUUCAGAAACCUUUAUAGUAAAAAAUCCUCAAGCCCUCAUUUAUUCCAUUAUUAGCUCCUCCUUGCAGGAUCACUGGUCUUUGAACACCCGAAUCGAGGUUGAAGGUGAACCGAGAUGGGGCAGGUAAUAAAAAGAAAACAAAGUCCAAAGAGCUCCCAUACAAAGUUCAAGACUCUCAUGCUAACGAACCAAAUGGUGAGACCGAAGCUCACAUCAAAGAGCCAUUGCCCACAACAAAAAAAAGAAGAAAUGAAAAAAGAAAGAAGAGUGAGAGGGGAACAAAGCAGAGGCCAAGUGAUGACCCCCCAAGAAGCAACUGAGAGGACUCCUGCCCUCUUGCAUCAUCGGGCUCGAUCCCCCAUGUGUGCACCUGACUUCGGAUGAUGCCGAGGUUGCCAGCUAGUGGCCCCACGCUCCCUACGUGCAUGCCAUCAGCCGGCACCAGGGCCAGCUACUUCGAGCCUAAGGCCCUUUGGCGCACCCACAUGCGGUCUUCGUCGAAGCCAGAGUAGAUCCGGUAGACAUGGAGCUGGCCAAAGUGGGUCCGAUCUCCGAUGGCACUAGUCUCCCACAAGAGGCUCCAAAAUCUCUCGCAUGUCCUCACAACCGACACUGCAGAAGUCACCGACGGAGGCUUUGAAGUCUCUUUCCACGUGUCCCUGCUGGCAUCAAAGCCAUCUACGAACAGAUCCGAAAUCCCCACACAUGCGUCUCACGUCCAGCCGCUCUGAGACCACCCGUCGGCUGAUCCAGCCCCUAACAGUCCUAAAGUCACUUGUAAGAAGCUCCCAAGUCUCUUCAUCCCUCUCUCUCAUCUCCGAGAAAAAGAAAGAAGAAGGACAAGAAGUCCUCCGCUGCCGCCGCCGCAAACGGUCAAGAUAAAUUUUCAUCUCCCCUCGGCUGCCAUGGCCGAUGAUGAUCCGUUCUAAAGGGAUUACCUAAUCAAGCCACAAUCAUUCUCCACCUCGAUCGACACAUCUAAGUGGCCGAUCCUCCUUGCCGCCGGUACCGACCCUCCUACUUCAACUCCUAGGUUAUGCUCCAAUGAAUGCACACCACCUGCCACAGCCAUGCCGAUGCCAUCUGCCUCAUUCUCACCACGGGUGCCCUUGGAAUGCCUUAUCCCCCUCCGGCCUCUCUACCACUGACCUUGCCAUUAAGCACUCCAACCUGGUCGCUGCAUGCAAAGUGGCCCUCGACCGCACCGAUGCCAUCAUCGGCUUUGAUGACUCUCCCACCUCUCCUCUCCUCAACCUCCACCUCCGACACCGACACUGACACCAUCCUCCAUAGGAAGAAGGGUGAUGCCGCCUUCUCCACCACAUAACCAAGUGGCUUGAGCGGAGUCCAAGGUGGAGCUAAUUAUGGGAUUUGACAGAGAGAUGGUCCUCCUCGAGAACUACAGCACUCUCAACUACCAUAGAGUGUCACUGAUCUUGCUCACCCAGCUUCGGGCCUCCAAAGCCACCUCGCCCACUGAUGUCGUGCAACAGAAUGGUCGAUCUCUUCUUUCUGAAAGACAAGGUUCGGGGCCUACAUAAGUACGAGGACCUUUAUGAAAAAUUUUGAAUCAAGCCAUGCACAAUGCACUGUACGCUCUGAAGCUUUAAACGAGAUAGCCUUUAUUUUGAGCCAGGCUAAGCCUAGGUUAGCAUUGGAAACCUUGAUUUAGGAUGGAGAAAUCAACAAAGGCCUCCUAAGCGGCGUAGCAAAUCUGAAGCCCAGAUCAAGUCCAUUUGAAGUCAAAAUAAGGGCCAAUCCGAAGUUAGAUUCAGAUCAAUCUAAAGUCAGAUCUAGAUCAAUCUGAAGCUAGAUCCAGACCAAUCCGAAGCCCAAAUCUAGGUCAAUUCAAAGUCAAAAUCAAGACCAGUUCGAAGUCAAAAUCAAGGCCAAUCCAAAGUCAAAAUCAGAUCAAUUCAAAGCAAAAAUAAGGCAAAACCAAAUCAAAAAUAAGGCCAAGCUGAAGCAAAAAUCAAAUCUAAAUCAAGGCAAAUAAAGAGCCAAAUAAAAUCAAAGGGCUCUCAAACAAAAUUCGCAACUCUCACGGUAAGAAACUCUCAAGCAUCUAUUAUUUCUAUUUUCUUCUUGCAAGGCAAUAGAUCCUUAAGUACAUGAGCCGAGGCAAAAAUUAAAUAAGGCCACAGUAAAAGUAAAAUCCAAAAAAGAGGUGAAGACUAAGAUGAGGUAAGGAUGGUCGAGGCCUAGGUCAUCAAAAGGCUAGCCUUAAAAGGCCAAUACCAUCAGAGGGCCAAAGUCAUCUGAGAAGUCUGAGCAAACGAAGGUCAGGCUAUCAAACAAAAGGCUAACAGCUGAGAGGAAAGAUUGAAAUCGAAGUGAAGCCCAAUGAAGCCCAAGGUUGACUAAAGGCAAAGUGGCAAAAAUAGGGGUAACAUGAUUUCAAUUAUCUAUUUUAUUUACUCCAAAACUUGAUUUAACUAAAAAAUCGAAAGGCUUAGCCAAAGUCAGUCCGGUGAGUUCUCUCAUUUUUUAUGUGUAGAUCCAUAACUCAAAAUCUCGAUGACUAAGAAGUGAUGGCUAACCUACAAGGAUCCUCAAAAGCCAUACUUGCUCUUCAAUGAGUCAACACUCAUGAAGAUCUUAGUCAUAUAGGAAGUGGGGGCUAACCUAUAAAGACCCCCAAUACUCGUCGAUCCAACCUACAUGGGCAGAAACCUCGUUAGUUUGGAAAGCAGGAGAUAAUGUAUAAGGACCUCCGAAGGUCGUGCUUGUUUUUCAGUGAGGCCAAUGCCUAUGAAGAUCCCGACUGGUCGAGAAAUGGAGGCUAACUUAAAAAGACCUUUAGAUGGCUAACCUACAAGAACCCUUAGCCUGUCAACUUCGACAAUAAAUGAAAGGUACACUACAGGACCCUCAAAGUUCUCUCACUUUUUAGCAAGCAAAGCUGAAGACACUCUUGGCACAUCCUUGAUAAUUCUAAAGUACUUCCUUCGUCCGAUUCAAUUUUAACUCAGAUUCGAGAGAGUAGAGAGCUUAUGUUGGUGGUGAUUUUAUAGGGACCGAAGCCAUGAAGUAUGUAAAGGAAGGAUUGACCCUUUCGGAUUCUAAACUUCUGUGCCUCAUUCAAAAUUCAAACGAUCCCAAUAUGACAGCUGCCUGCUGAACAUAUAAGGAAGAAAUAACUGCCAUAUCUUUCUAGAUAAAUCAAGGCUAACCGUCUAAUUUUUUUUUCUCUCACGGCUCCUUAGUCUCUACCUAUAAAUAAAGGUCCACAAGGGACUCCCAAGGUAUAAAAUUUUUUCUCUCUCAAAAAUGCUCACUUCUUCCCUCUAUUGCUCGGAUUUCUAACUAGAGUGUUGGAGGAUCCCCAUUGGAAUUACCUCCGGUCAGAGAUUUUUCUUGCAGAUCCCACCAUCGUUGAUCUGCCGUCGCCAUCCAACUUCAGUCAAUCCGACCCAAGGAUGAAAUUCUACUACAACAGAUAUGUUCGGGGUGAUUUUAUACUGACCGAAGUCGAGAAGCAUAUAAAGGAAGGAUUUAGCCUUCCAUAUUUUCAAAUUCCAUACCUCAUUCAAAAUUCAAAUGAUCCCAAUAUGACAGCUGCCCA